GUGUGUGUGUGUGUGUGUGUGUGUGUGUGUAUAUAUAUAUAUAAUGUAGUGUGCAUUAUAUAAACACACUACACAAACACACUG